rnacentral:snRNA from 14 species
GGAUGUGCAGGUGGAAUUGGCCGCGACUCCCAUCACUCCCAUUGAUCGCUAGCGCUAGGAUCGGCUGAUCUGGUUGGUUAGAUGGGGCGUCCCCCGUUCCCCGCACGGAUCCGCGUCCGGCCUCGCCGAUGCCCCGCGCUCGGAUCGACGGCCGAGAGGCUCACCGCACGCACCACGCUCACGGCUACGGCGCACGGGUUUAACCACGGAGCUGCGAGUACCCACUUAGACCAAACCCCGGAGACGGCGACGGCGAUAAGAGGGAAGCACGCUCUGCACCAUAUGUUGCACAUCCAACACGGCGCUGCACGUGGCAGUUUGCCUUGUU